rnacentral:rRNA from 1 species
AGGAGAGUUUGAUCCUGGCUCAGGAUGAACGCUGGCGGCGUGCUUAACACAUGCAAGUCGAACGGAACUUAUUGAAUGAAGUUUUCGGAUGGAUUUUGAUAAGUUUAGUGGCGGACGGGUGAGUAACGCGUGGGUAACCUGCCCUGUACAGGGGGAUAACAGUUAGAAAUGACUGUUAAUACCGCAUAAGACCACAGUGCCGCAUGGCACAGGGGUAAAAGCUGCGACGGUACAGGAUGGACCCGCGUCCGAUUAGAUAGUUGGUGAGGUAACGGCCCACCAAGUCGACGAUCGGUAGCCGAUCUGAGAGGACGAACGGCCACAUUGGGACUGAGACACGGCCCAAACUCCUACGGGAGGCAGCAGUGGGGAAUAUUGCACAAUGGGGGGAACCCUGAUGCAGCGACGCCGCGUGAGUGAAGAAGUAUUUCGGUAUGUAAAGCUCUAUCAGCAGGGAAGAAGAUGACGGUACCUGAGUAAGAAGCCCCGGCUAACUACGUGCCAGCAGCCGCGGUAAUACGUAGGGGGCAAGCGUUAUCCGGAUUUACUGGGUGUAAAGGGAGCGCAGACGGUUUUACAAGUCUGAAGUGAAAGCCCGCGGCUCAACUGCGGGACUGCUUUGGAAACUGCAGGACUAGAGUAUCGGAGAGGUAAGCGGAAUUCCCAGUGUAGCGGUGAAAUGCGUAGAUAUUGGGAAGAACACCGGUGGCGAAGGCGGCUUACUGGACGAAAACUGACGUUGAGGCUCGAAGGCGUGGGGAGCAAACAGGAUUAGAUACCCUGGUAGUCCCCU